rnacentral:rRNA from 1 species
UACAGAGGUCUCAAGCGUUGUUCGGAUUCAUUGGGCGUAAAGGGUGCGUAGGCGGCGCGGUAAGUCGGGUGUGAAAUUUCGGAGCUUAACUCCGAAACUGCAUUCGAUACUGCCGUGCUUGAGGACUGGAGAGGAGACUGGAAUUUACGGUGUAGCGGUGAAAUGCGUAGAUAUCUGGAGGAACACCGGUGGCGAAGGCGGCAUCCUGGACCAACACUGACGCUGAGUGAGCGAAAGCCAGGGGAGCAAACGGG